rnacentral:rRNA from 1 species
GGCGGCGUGCUUACACAUGCAAGUCGAACGAUGAAGCCCUUCGGGGUGGAUUAGUGGCGAACGGGUGAGUAACACGUGGGCAAUCUGCCCUGCACUCUGGGACAAGCCCUGGAAACGGGGUCUAAUACCGGAUGACACCCCCUCUCGCAUGGGAGGGGGUUGAAAGCUCCGGCGGUGCAGGAUGAGCCCGCGGCCUAUCAGCUUGUUGGUGAGGUAGAAGCUCACCAAGGCGACGACGGGUAGCCGGCCUGAGAGGGCGACCGGCCACACUGGGACUGAGACACGGCCCAGACUCCUACGGGAGGCAGCAGUGGGGAAUAUUGCACAAUGGGCGAAAGCCUGAUGCAGCGACGCCGCGUGAGGGAUGACGGCCUUCGGGUUGUAAACCUCUUUCAGCAGGGAAGAAGCGAAAGUGACGGUACCUGCAGAAGAAGCGCCGGCUAACUACGUGCCAGCAGCCGCGGUAAUACGUAGGGCGCAAGCGUUGUCCGGAAUUAUUGGGCGUAAAGAGCUCGUAGGCGGCUUGUCACGUCGGUUGUGAAAGCCCGGGGCUUAACCCCGGGUCUGCAGUCGAUACGGGCAGGCUAGAGUGUGGUAGGGGAGAUCGGAAUUCCUGGUGUAGCGGUGAAAUGCGCAGAUAUCAGGAGGAACACCGGUGGCGAAGGCGGAUCUCUGGGCCAUUACUGACGCUGAGGAGCGAAAGCGUGGGGAGCGAACAGGAUUAGAUACCCUGGUAGUCCACGCCGUAAACGGUGGGAACUAGGUGUUGGCGACAUUCCACGUCGUCGGU